rnacentral:tRNA from 1 species
GCGGGUGUAGCUCAGUGGUAGGGUGCAUGCCUCACAUGCACGAGGUCCUGGGUUCAGUCCCCAGCACCUCCA